AAGUCGUAACAAGGUUUCCGUAGGUGAACCUGCGGAAGGAUCAUUACCUAGAGUUGCGGGCUUUGCCUGCCAUCUCUUACCCAUGUCUUUUGAGUACCUUACGUUUCCUCGGCGGGUCCGCCCGCCGACUGGACAAUUUAAACCACUUGCAGUUGCAAUCAGCGUCUGAAAAAGCUUAAUAGUUACAA
rnacentral:misc_RNA from 1 species